GAGUAGUUAAAUUUAUAUAUCCAGUUGUAGAUGUAUAUAGUUGUUUUUAUAUAUGUAGUUAUAUUUAUAGAUGUGCACAGUUGCAUUUAUAGAUGUUUCGUUACGUUAUAAAUGGACAUAGUUAUAUUUAUAUAUCUGUAGGUAUAUGGAACUUUAGACAGAUAGGUUGAUAUUUGAAUAAAUAUAGGCUGCUUUUUAAGCUCUUUCUCUGCUUCCUCUCUCACCUCUUGCUGUUGCCCCUGUGCCCCCUCUGUCCCCUCUUCCUGUGCUGGCUCCGAGCUGGCAGCCGGGCCGGGCGGAGCAGCAGCUGCAGCCCCGGUGUCCCUGGAGCGGUGGGAGCUGCCGGUGGCCGCAGGCACUGUGCCCUGAGGAGCUGCUGGAGGACGCUGCCCUGAAGUCCUUGAGAAGACCCAGGACUGAUGAGAACCAGCAGGGAGAAGCUGAAGGCCACAGCAAGAGCAGUGAACGGGGACCUGCUGCUGCCGCCCGAGACCCUGGCUGAGGCCCCAGGGCCGGUGAGGCAGGGUGUCCCAUCUGCUGUCCCCGUCCAGGAGAGCUGCUCUGCACGGGAGGAAGAGACCGAGGGAGAGCCUGGGAACAUCGGCGCCUGCAAUCCCUCCU